UUCAGGCUGGCCUUGAACUUACAGGGAUUCACCUGCCUCUGCCUCCCAGAUGCUGAGAUUAAAGGCAUGUGCCAUCACCACCUGAACAACAGCAGCUUUCUAAGGAACCAGUAAGGCACUACAGACUUUUCAUAUAACAUCACCUUCAUUCUCUCACAACUAAUUCUACAAAACAGAUGUUAUACGACCUCGUUCGCUGAAGUCAAAGAUGCAGAGGGGCCAAGGUGUGGGCUCCGGACCUCACACCAGUGUGGCAGAUUCAACAAGCCCAGAAUAAGCCUCUUCCUUUGCUCACAAUAAGAUUUAUUAUAGAAGCAACAACUUCUGCAUACCAGAGGUGAGAGAUG
rnacentral:lncRNA from 1 species